CGCAACAACAAUCUUCCACCAGCAUGCUUUGUACCAGUCAAAUUCUUAGAAGAGGUUGGGUACGCUUAUGAAUCUGUCAGGAAGCCACAUAAGAAAAAAAAAAGUUAUUGGAGGGCUGUGUAGGCGAACUUGUGAAAGGUUUAAUACAUCCAAAGAAGGUAUGGCUGGAAGAUGUUGAUGUUAUAUAUGGUGUCAUUGAAGAUAAGUUGAGCUGUCACUAUAUUGGGGUGGAGAUACAAUUGAUGGACAACACAAUCACACUCUUCCAUUGUGGUCUUCCAAAAGCAAAUAUCAAACGUGCUCUUAAUCAAAUCCAAGAACUGGCAGUGUUGAUUAGUGCCAUAAAGAUGGAACUUCUUGGUGAAGAGGUUAAUUUCGAAGAUAUCAGUCCAUUUGAAGUUAAGUUUGCAGAAGGGCUUCCAAAGACAAAAUUUCCAUACAACUGUGGUAUUUUUGUUGUGAAGAUGCUGGAAUGCAGGUCACUGGGAUUGAAGAGCAUGGCUAAUAUAAAUGAUGAAACUGCGAUGGACUUACGAAGCAAGCUAUGUUGUGAGAUCUUCGACCAGUUUAUGGAUAAAGAUUUCCAGGAAGGUCAAAGGAAGUGAAAAUGUCAUAUUUGUUCUGUUUUCUACACUGUUUUUCUACUUUGAUAUUAAUUAUCCCUAACGUUUAAGUUUAAGUUUGUAAUGAAUUAUCCCUAACGUUUUUUUCAUUUAGAUUGUUAUUGAAAAAUUUUUAGGAUGUAUUGAUGAAUUGUCAAAUGCUUAUGGUACUUUUAGGAUGGGUUUCCAGAAAAAGAGUGAGAAAGCAAAAUGCACCAAAGCCUAGCAUAUUCCUUUAAAGUUUACAAAAAAAAUGAAAAAGAAAGUGAUCCAAUGUUGAUUGAACUCGUGAACUCUCGAAAGAUGAAUCAAAGUGUGCAGCCGCUGUGCCAAGGGUGUUAUACUUGCCAAAAGAUAUAAUAAAACGAUAAUAACUUGUAACUUUUGAAUAUUUAAUUAAAAACAGAAAAAAGUGAAAAUAUACACAACGGGGAUCGAACACGGCUUAUUGUGUGAUAAGGGUACACUAAGAGUAGAAGGGCUUGCCAAUAAGCUAUGGUGGAUAUUCGAUAUCAGAGUAAAUGUGAACUUCUUUAUUCACAGACGAUAGAUUUAUAUGAUCUGGAUAUCAUUUUAGGUAUUCAGGAUAGCUUUCCAAAAACAAAUUCCUUUAAAGUUUACAAAAAAAAAUUGAAAAAGAAUGUGAUCUGAUGUUGAUUGAACUCGUGAACUCUCGAUAGAUUAAUCCAAGUGUGCAGCCGUUGAACCAAGGGUCUUAUACUUGCCAAAAGCUACAAUAAAACGAAAAUAACGUUUGAAUAUUUAAUUAAAAACAAAAAAAAAAUGUGAGUAUACACAACGGGGAUCGAACACGACUUAUUGUGUGAUAAGGGUACACUAAGAGUAGAAGGGCUUGCCACUAGGCUACGUUGGAUAUUCGAUAACAGAGUAAAUGUGAACUCAUUUAUUCACAGACGAUAGAUUUAUAUAAUCUGGAUAUCAUUUUAUGUAUUCAGGAUGGCUUUCCAAAAACAAAUAAGCAAAUCAGAUAACCAAGUUAUAAGAACACUAGGCCAAACCAUUACAAAAUAGUGAAAAACAUUGAACAAGUUUUUUAUUUAGGUUGUUAAUUGAAGAAACAACACAAGAGAAACAAAAGUACUUAUUCAUUUAAAAUAAAAACUGAAAAUCAAACAUAAUGUGGUCCUUAAAAACAUAAAAAGAGAAGACGAUAACAUGAAAUUACUCAUGACGGAGCCAACUUUCGCCAAGUUUAUCCCAAUCAGGGACUUUGACCUUCACAUCAGCAAGCAUUCCUUCCGCUUCCGAGUGCUCUUCUUUGAGUUUCUCCAACUCAGCAGUUAAAUCAAAUUUUCCAUCAGCUUUGAUAAUAUCUUCAAGCAACUCGAUUUGGACAGCAAUUGAAUUUGCUUUGCUGGAUGCAAGAUUCCAAUCAUUCUCAGAUAGCCUGUAUUCGUUGGACAAACGAAGAAGAGCCCUGUAAUGUUCCACAGUUUCCUUCUUCCCCUUCUUGAAACCUUCGGCGGCAUCACAUCCGUAAACCUCCUCUAUGGGACGCUUCAUCAUCUUCUUUGAACUUCCUUCCAUUGAAACUUUGUCCUGCAACAAAAUCGAAACUAAGAUGUUACGAUAAAAUAGAAAUAGAAAAAAGUUCAUGAAUUGAAUGGAAAAUGAGAAAAAUCGAAAACUAACUUGUAUUGCAAAAGGAUAUAUCAAGCGAAAUGAAGUGAGUGAAUAAAAGGUCUGAUAUCGUCCCUUAUAUUUAUAGAACAAAAAGGAACUCUUCGAUUAUUGAAGUCAGUUAAAAUAAACUCUUGAUUAUUGUGGAACUCUUCGAUUAUUGAAGUCAGUUACUGAAAUAACCAAUCAUAUAACACCCAAUCUUGACGAAAAGAAACUCUUCGGUUACUGAGUUACAUGAUGUCGUUUGGAAGAGACUCUUCGAUUCCUGAGAUAUAUGUUUGAACAAAAAAAAAAAAAUCACCCAUUACUCGUAGGAGAGUCGAACCCGGGUCGAACAAAUGUUUCGGUAUCAUAGGUUUCGUGGUUUAGCCGCUAGGCUGAGGAGAAUCAUCUGUUAGUUGCUUCCACAUAAUUGAAUUUACCCAUACAAUUUAUAGUAUAAUACA